GAUGAACGCUGGCGGCGUGCCUAAUACAUGCAAGUCGAGCGAACAGACGAGGAGCUUGCUCCUCUGACGUUAGCGGCGGACGGGUGAGUAACACGUGGAUAACCUACCUAUAAGACUGGGAUAACUUCGGGAAACCGGAGCUAAUACCGGAUAAUAUAUUGAACCGCAUGGUUCAAUAGUGAAAGACGGUUUUGCUGUCACUUAUAGAUGGAUCCGCGCCGCAUUAGCUAGUUGGUAAGGUAACGGCUUACCAAGGCAACGAUGCGUAGCCGACCUGAGAGGGGGGUGGCACACACUGGAACGGGACCACGGCCCAGCCCCCUGGGGGGGGCACAGGAGGGGAUUCUUCCGCAGAGGGGGAAGCCCUGACGGAGCAAGCCCGGGGGAUGAAUGAGGUUUUUGGGAUCGUAAAACUCUUUUAUGGGGGAAAAAAAAAUGUGAAAGAAACUAUGCACGUCUGGACGGUCCCAAAUCAGAAAGCCCCGUCUAACUCCGUG
rnacentral:rRNA from 1 species